CCUACGGUGCGCAGCAGUGGGGAAUAUUGCACAAUGGGCGAAACCCUGAUGCAGCGACGCCGCGUGAGUGAAGAAGUAUCUCGGUACGUAAAGCUCUAUCAGCAGGAAAGAAAAUGACGGUACCUGACUAAGAAGCCCCGGCUAACUACGUGCCAGCAACCGCGGUAAUACGUAGGGGGCAAGCGUUAUCCGGAUUUUCUGGGUGGAAAGGGAGCGUAGACGGCGCUGCAAGUCCGGAGUGAAAGCCCAGGGCUUAACAAUGGUUCUGCUCUGGAAACUGUAGAGCUUGAGUGCGGGAGGGGCAGGCGGAAUUGCUAGUGUAGCGGUGAAAUGCGUAGAUAUUAGGAGGAACACCGGCGGCGAAGGCGGCCGGCUGGAUCGUAACUGACGUUGAGGCUCGAAAGCGUGGGGAGCAAACAGGAUUAGAUACCCCUGUAGUC
rnacentral:rRNA from 1 species